rnacentral:lncRNA from 1 species
CCCCACCCCGCCUCCGCCUCCGCCCCCGCCUCGCUGCCGGGUUUAGCGGCAUGUUGCCCGGCCGCCGCUGCCCGACGGUGGAAGAAGCGUGGCGGAGAAGCUGCUGCCGCCCGCCAGGACUGAGUUAGGUGGAAUAAACAACGGUGGCACUGCCCUGCCCUGCUGGUGCGGUUGUCUUUUGGGGAAGAGUUACUUCUAGCAGGUGCUUAAAAACAGCAUGGGAGCAGUGGUUAUGAUGUGCUGAUACUGGCUGCAAUCACGAUGAAAUUUCAGAGUUCAGAUUACCAUGAUCGUCUAUGUACCUCUAUUUCCAUUGGUGGGAUGACAUCAAGUGGCUUCUGCUACUGUGUGUACUUCAAGCACAAUGCAGCUGUGAACGCCCCAUGCCAGGCCCAGCCCAGAGGUGGAGAAAAGACAAGAUCCUGGUCAAGCGUAAGACAGAAGAGAGACAGAUGUUGGUGGCUAAUAUGGCCUGUUUUCCUCACCCGAGUGACUUCUUUCCCCUUUUCCAACCUUGAAUUCAACAGGAAUGGGAUUCAGGAGCAACAUACCAGGUUCAUCUGUUGA